rnacentral:rRNA from 1 species
AAUGAACGCUGGCGGCGCGCCUAAUACAUGCAAGUCGAGCGAGAAGACGUAGCAAUACGUUUGUAAAGCGGCGAACGGGUGAGGAAUACAUGGGUAACCUACCCUCGAGUGGGGAAGUAACUAGCCGAAAGGUUAGCUAAUACCGCGUACGCUCCUUGGACUUCGGUUCAGGGAGGAAAGCGAUACCGUGGGUAUCGCGCUCUUGGUUGGGCUCAUGUCCUAUCAGCUUGUUGGUGAGGUAACGGCUCACCAAGGCUUCGACGGGUAGCUGGUCUGAGAGGACGAUCAGCCACACUGGCACUGCGACACGGGCCAGACUCCUACGGGAGGCAGCAGUAAGGAAUAUUGCGCAAUGGGCGAAAGCCUGACGCAGCGACGCCGCGUGGGGGA